rnacentral:rRNA from 1 species
AGUGAACGCUGGCGGUAGGCCUAACACGUGCAAGUCGAACGGCAGCACAGUAAGAGCUUGCUCUUACGGGUGGCGGGUGGCGGACGGGUGAGGAAUACAUCGGAAUCUACUUUUUCGUGGGGGAUAACGUAGGGAAACUUACGCUAAUACCGCAUACGACCUACGGGUGAAAGCAGGGGAUCUUCGGACCUUGCGCGAUUGAAUGAGCCGAUGUCGGAUUAGCUAGUUGGCGGGGUAAAGGCCCACCAAGGCGACGAUCCGUAGCUGGUCUGAGAGGAUGAUCAGCCACACUGGAACUGAGACACGGUCCAGACUCCUACGGGAGGCAGCAGUGGGGAAUAUUGGACAAUGGGCGCAAGCCUGAUCCAGCCAUACCGCGUGGGUGAAGAAGGCCUUCGGGUUGUAAAGCCCUUUUGUUGGGAAAGAAAAGCAGCAGGUUAAUACCCCGCUGUUCCGACGGUACCCAAAGAAUAAGCACCGGCUAACUUCGUG